GAGCGAAGCCAGAGCCACAAAAGGCAUUUCAGCGCAUCUUCCCACAUUCGCAGCGAAUUCAUUUCGAAAGAACUGAAAGAGAAGCAGCGCUUGGUUCAUGCCAUCCGAGAGGAUGAUGAAGUUCAGGUUGUGGGAGGACACUGUAAGGGUUAGCAAACUGUCAUAGUCCGCGUGUACGGGACAGCUGUCAUCUGCAUCCAGCGGGUGCAGUGGGGAAAGGCUAAUGGCAUAUUUGUCAUGUGAGCGUUCGCCCUAGCAAGGUACGGUGGUCAUGGCUAGGCCAAAGCUGGACAAAGCAAAAGGAAAUCUGAGUGGAAAGCCACAUCUCACCAAACAAGAGAAAAAGGGCAA
rnacentral:lncRNA from 1 species